CGCGCGUGGCCCAGGGGCGGUGCGAAGGGCGGGGGCGCGCGAGCGCGGGCUUCGGCCUAUAAAAGGGCCGCCCCGCCGUUCCCUCCCGAACGUGCGAGACGCCGGGCCCCCUCCUCCUCCUCCUCCGCCGCCGUUCUGCAGUGUCUGCACCCGGCCGCUUAAUGAGAUUUAUUCACGCUCGGCUCUGCUCAUCUUUGCCAGGGGUUGGCAGAUCCAGUGCACAGGGAUUUCCCACAGCGGUGUUUUUCUCCCGCCCCUUUGCUUCCCUCUCGCCGUAGUAUAUCCUUCCUUGGUUUCCUCCCGGGGCCCGCAGGCUGCGUCCCGGGCGCGCGCCUGGACAUAAAUGAUAAAUGGCUGCCACCCCAACUUCUGAUUCUUAGGCAACUCCAUUCUACCAACAAACCACUCAUUUUGAUUUGAUAACUCCUGACAACCUACAUUUUGACAACCCUACUUUGGAUGAAUUUUCAAUAAAGCCAUGGUGACCAUGCUUGGGGAUUUUCAUAGUUUGAGUAAUUCCCCUGAGCUCUGCCACCCAGCAAGUUAAAGAGGACAAGAUUGCUCCCUGGGGAUUGUAGUUCUUGGCAGGUCAGCAGCUUGUUUUCAUGAGGUCUGCACCCUGACCUGGCCUACUGUUAGGAGCUGUUGUGUUGGUGGUUUAUGCUGUUUUUAGUUGUUUCUUCCAUCUUACACAGUUAUUUGUAUAUAAGGAUUUUUGAAAAGUAAAUGUCUUAUGGGACUGUUUUGCUUCUACAAAGAAAAAUUAAAACUGUUUCAAAGUAA